UGGGGUAUAGCUCAGUGGUAGAGCAGGUGCUAAGCAUGUAGGAGGUCCUGGGUUCAAUCCCCAGUACCUCCA
rnacentral:tRNA from 1 species